rnacentral:rRNA from 1 species
CCUACGGGCGGCAGCAGUGGGGAAUAUUGCACAAUGGGGGAAACCCUGAUGCAGCGACGCCGCGUGAGUGAAGAAGUAUCUCGGUACGUAAAGCUCUAUCAGCCGGGAAGAAAAUGACGGUACCUGACUAAGAAGCCCCGGCUAACUACGUGCCAGCAGCCGCGGUAAUCCGUAGGGGGCAAGCGUUAUCCGGAUUUACUGGGUGUAAAGGGAGCGUAGGCGGGAGCACAAGGCUGGAGUGAAAUCCCGGGGCUUAACCCCGGAACUGCUGUGGAAACUGCGCGGCUGGAGUGCAGGAGGGGUAAGCGGAAUUCGUGGUGUAGCGGUGAAAUGCGUAGAUAUUAGGAGGAACACCGGUGGCGAAGGCGGCUUACUGGACUGUAACUGACGUUGAGGCUCGAAAGCGUGGGGAGCAAACAGGAUUAGAUACCCCGGUAGUC